rnacentral:tRNA from 1 species
GCCCGAGUGGCGGAAUUGGUAGACGCAGUGGACUCAAAAUCCACCGCCCUUAAAAGCGUGUCGGUUCGACUCCGACCUCGGGCACCA